CGCGGCCUAUCAGCUUGUUGGUGGGGUAACGGCCUACCAAGGCAUCGACGGGUAGCUGGUCUGAGAGGACGAUCAGCCACACUGGGACUGAGACACGGCCCAGACUCCUACGGGAGGCAGCAGUGGGGAAUAUUGCGCAAUGGGCGAAAGCCUGACGCAGCAACGCCGCGUGGGGGAUGACGGCCUUCGGGUUGUAAACCCCUUUCAGCAGGGACGAAAAUGACGGUACCUGCAGAAGAAGCCCCGGCCAACUACGUGCCAGCAGCCGCGGUAACACGUAGGGGGCAAGCGUUGUCCGGAUUUAUUGGGCGUAAAGAGCUCGUAGGCGGUUGCGUAAGUCGGAUGUGAAAACUCAGGGCUCAACCCGGAGACGCCAUCCGAUACUGCGCUGACUAGAGUCCGGUAGAGGAGCAUGGAAUUCCUGGUGUAGCGGUGAAAUGCGCAGAUAUCAGGAGGAACACCAGUGGCGAAGGUGGUGCUCUGGGCCGGCACUGACGCUGAGGAGCGAAAGCGUGGGUAGCGAACAGGAUUAGAUACCCUGGUAGUCCACGCCGUAAACGUUGGGCACUAGGUGUGGGGCCUCCUUAACGGGUUCCGUGCCGUAGCUAACGCAUUAAGUGCCCCGCCUGGGGAGUACGG
rnacentral:rRNA from 1 species